GCGAGUACGCAAUCUGUGACAGACAGAUACCCGAAGAUGAGUAAUAUAUCUAUAUAUAUUAAUAUAUCUCUAAGAUUCUUUGAGACACCUUGAUGCACCGUCAUCCGCAGCCGGAUUAGGCCAACAAUUCUUAGGGUUUUAAAUGCACAAACUUCUCCUAAAGCUCUCGCCUCUGUUUCUCUUCCCUUGAUUUAUGUCUACCAUGGAUAUCGAUUCCCCUUCUGAAUCUCUCCCUCGUGAUCGAAUCGUUCAGAGGCUUGCUCGAGUGGGAGUGCCUCAGAAUCUUCUUCAUCUGCAUCAACUUGGUUUAGUUGCUUUUGUUAAAAAUAACAAGCAGUUGUUACCGCGACUGGUUUCUGCUACCUUACCUCCUGAUGAGGAAGUAGCGGAAGUUCUCCGCGAGGCCAAACCAGGGUCGAAGAAACAAUCAGCCGGCGUCACCAUGAAACUUCAAUUCCGCGAGAGCAUCUCGUGGCUCAAGUGGCUGAUGUUUGAGAGUGACCCUGGCUUGGUUCUCAAGGGCCUGUCCAAAAUGAGUGUCGGCCAGCGGGGCAUUUGUGGAGCUGUUUGGGGACAUAAUGAUAUAGCCUUCAGGUGCAAAACAUGCGAACAUGAUCCAACCUGUGCAAUUUGCGUUCCGUGUUUUAAGAAUGGGAACCACAAGGAUCAUGAUUACUCCAUUAUCUACACCGGCGGUGGCUGUUGUGAUUGCGGUGACGUUACAGCGUGGAAACGCCAGGGCUUUUGCUCUAAGCAUAAAGGUGCAGAGCAGAUACAGCCCCUUCCAGAGGAGCUUGCAGUCACCGUGGGGCCUGUUCUUGACUGCCUCUUUGCCUAUUGGAAGAACAAGCUACUUAUUUCUGAAACUGCCUGCCGGGAAAACCCUAGAGUAACUGACCUUGCUGCAGAGCGUAAGAAGGUUGCAAAUGAGCUAACCUAUUUUGUGGUUGAGAUGCUUCUGGACUUUUGCAAGUGCAGUGAGAGUUUGCUUAGCUUUGUAUCAAAGAAGAUUUUAUCAUCAGUUGACGUUUUGGGGAUUUUGGUGAGGGCAGAGAGGUUUUUGAGUGAUGCUGUUGUGAAAAAGCUCCACGAGUUGCUCCUGAAGUUGAUGGGGGAGCCUGUUUUCAAAUAUGAGUUUGCCAAAGUAUUUCUUAAUUAUUACCCAACUGUUGUUAGUGAAGCCAUAAAGGAGUUCAAUGACCUUACUUUGAAAAAGUAUCCGCUGCUCUCUAUAUUCUCUGUGCAAAUCCUCACGGUGCCAACUUUAACACCCCGUCUUGUGAAAGAAAUGAACCUACUGUCGAUGCUGUUAGAACGUUUGGAAGAUAUUUUCAAUUCCUGUGCUGGUGAAGACGGCCGUUUACAGGUUACCAAGUGGUCAAAUUUGUAUGACGUCACUAUUCGUGUGAUUGAAGAUUUUCGGUUUGUCAUGAGUCAUGCUAUUGUGCCAAAAUAUGUAACUCAUGAGCAGCAAGAUAUUGCGAGAACUUGGAUGAGGCUCUCAGCUUUUGUGCAAGGGAUGAAUCCACAAAAGAGGGAAACAGGCCUCCAUAUUGAGGAAGAGAAUGACAAUAUGCAUCUGCCAUUCGUUCUGGGUCAUUCAAUUGCCAACCUUCAUUCUUUGUUGGUGGAUGGAGCAUUUUCUGUUGCUAGUGACAACACAGAAGAAGACUUAUUUCUCAGCACAAAUAAGCAAGAUAUGGAUGACACAGAUAGCCUAAGAUAUGCAAAAGUAGGACGGCUGUCCCAGGAAAGUUCUGCAUGUAGUGCAGUGGGGAGUAGUUCAUUUGCAUGUGCAUCGACGUUUUCUGAAGAUACAUCAAAUGCUCUUUUGAGGAUACCAUCAUCUGUGAUAUGGUUAACAUUUGAGUGUUUGAGGGCUAUCGAGAAUUGGCUGGGAGUUGAUAACACCUCGGGUACGAUUCAUCAUGUAUCAUCUUCAAGUACUAGCAAUUUCUCUGGGAGCAAUUUUUCAGCAUUGAAGAGAACAUUAUCCAAAAUUAGGAAAGGCAAAAACAUUUUUGGUAGAUUUGCCAGUUCAAGUGAAGACCAUGGGAAGCAUGGUUCAUCACAUUUACAUAGUAGUUCUGAUAUGAGUGUUGACUUCCAGAAUGGCAAAAUUUCAGGGCAGGAAAAUAAAUUAAUGGUUCUGGACGAAAUCGAUCAAGGUAAUGGCUGUAAUUCGUCAGGAUCCGGUGAUAGUGCAAUGGAAAUAGAUGGUCCCAUGGACUUAGAUGCUCUACGAGUGCUGAGUUCGUCCGACUGGCCAGACAUAACAUAUGAUGUUAGUUCACAGGAUAUAUCUGUUCACAUUCCCUUACAUCGCUUCCUUGCGUUGCUUCUACAGAGAUCAUUAAGAAGGUGUUUUGGCGAAGUGCCAGAUUCUGUUAGAGCUAGUUCUGCAAAUUUAUCAUCAUCUAUUUCCACAGACUUUUUUGGUAAUAUUCUCGGAGGCUGCCACCCGUGUGGGUUUUCUGCCUUUGUUAUGGAGCAUCCCCUUCGUAUAAGAGUAUUUUGUGCUGAGGUUCACGCUGGAAUGUGGCGGAAAAAUGGGGAUGCUGCCCCAUUAACUUGUGAGUGGUAUCGUUCAGUUCGCUGGUCAGAACAGUUUGUGGAGCUUGAUCUAUUUCUGCUUCAGUGCUGUGCUGCCUUGGCUCCAGCUGAUCUUUAUAUCAAGAGAAUCAUAGAGCGCUUUGGCUUGUCAAGCUACCUUUCUCUGAACCUUGAGCGCUCUAGUGAAUAUGAACCAGUUCUAGUGCAGGAAAUGCUCACUCUUAUUAUACAAAUAAUCAAAGAAAGGCGAUUCUGUGGGUUAACUAAAGCUGAAAGUGUGAAAAGAGAAUUGAUUCAUAAGUUGAGCAUCGCAGAUGCUACUCACAGUCAAUUGGUUAAGUCUCUUCCUCGUGAUCUUACCAAGUAUGAACAGCUUAAUGAAAUUUUGGACACAGUUGCUGUGUAUUCCAAUCCCUCUGGCUUUAAUCAGGGGACUUAUUCACUACAAUGGACAUUUUGGGAGGAGCUGGAUUUGUACUACCAUCGGUGGAACUCAAGGGAUCUACAAGCUGCAGAAGAACGAUACUUACGUUUCCGUGGCGUUUCUGCAUUGACGAGUCAGCUACCCAGGUGGACUAAGAUUUAUCCUCCUUUCAGGGGGUUAGCUAGAAUAGGGACUUGUAAAACCGUCCUCCAAAUUGUUCGUGCGGUGCUGUUUUAUGCUGUAUUUUCUGAUAAAUCGGUUGAGUCGCGAGCGCCUGAUGGGGUCCUCUUAACUGCAUUGCACUUGCUCUCAUUAGCAUUAGACAUUUGUUCUCAACAUAAAGAAUCUGGUGACCAUUCCUGUUAUGAUGGAGAUUUCAUUCCAGUGCUUGCUUUUGCCUGUGAAGAAAUUAAUGAAGGACUCUAUUUUGAGGCUGGUCAACAAAGCUUGUUGUCACUUCUUGUUAUUUUGAUGAGGAUGUAUUCGAAAGAGGGGUUAGAUAAUUCAGAAGAUGGAAGUUGCAACCUUUCUUCUUUAAUUGGAAACUUACUGAAGAAGUUUGCAUUUAUUGAUUGUGAAUGUAUGACCAAACUGCAGGUACUUGCACCUGAGUUGGUUAGUCAUGUAACUUUUCCAAAUAGUGAUACAGUUACCUCAGGUUCAGCUUCUGAUUCUGAGAAGCGAAAGGCAAAAGCCAGAGAGAGACAGGCUGCCAUACUGGAAAAAAUGAGAGCCGAGCAAUCAAAGUUUUUGAGUAGUAUUGAUUCCUCUGUGGAUGAUGGUUCAGAAGCUGAACAAAAGGAUGUUGAAUCUGAUGUUGAAGAUAAUUCAGAAGAGCCUGCACAAGUUGUUUGCUCGCUCUGCCAUGAUCCGAAUUCCAAGAAUCCUAUUUCUUUCUUGGUUCUUCUUCAAAAGUCUAGGCUUUUGAGUUUCAUUGAUAGAGGUCCACUAUCAUGGGAACAACCUCGCUCCGUAGACAAGGAGCAUGUUGUUAAAACCAAAGAUGAGGUGAUUGAUCAAUCUGGCAUAAGCAGAUUGUUUAGUGGUUCAGGAUUUGUUUCAUCGUCUCAUGUAAGACAGUUGGUGUCGGAACACUACAACAAACAAAAGGUGACUGGUGAAUCUGGAACAAGUACACUGUCAAGUGGUUCAGGAGUGGUGUCGCCUCAUCAUCUAAGGCAGUUGGUUGAGAAGGCAGUCACUGAGUUUGCCCGACAUGGGAGACCUAGGGAUGUUGAUGCCUUUCUAGAAGUUCUGAAGGGGCGGUUCCAUGACUUAAGGAAUUUCCAAGUGCCAUGUGAAUCAAAUGAUGAAAGGGAAAGUACUUUAUAUGCCUUUGAGACAAUGGAAGAAGAUAUGUACUUCUCUGUCCGAAGAGAAUUGCACGAUAAACUGCAUUCUAAACUUACAGAAGAUAAGAAGUGUACAGCUGCUGAAGGGGGUCGAGAGAAUACAGAGCAUACUGAAUUUAUGUUGCUUGGAAACUAUAUAGCUGCUCUUUCUAGAGAGAGAAGAGAAGAUCCUUCAUCUUCUGAAAGUACUCCUAAUGAUAAGGGGCCAGUAGAGUGUUCUCGCCUGUCAGCAUAUGAUGGAUUUGGCCCUGCAGAUUGUGAUGGAAUUUUUCUUUCUUCCUGUGGGCAUGCUGUGCAUCAGGAAUGUCUUGAUCGUUAUUUGUCUUCCCUGAAGGAAAGGUAUCUCAGGAGAAUUGUUUUUGAAGGAGGACAUAUUGUAGAUCCAGACAAGGGUGAAUUUCUUUGUCCUGUAUGCCGUCGACUUGCAAAUUCAGUCUUGCCUACAUUACCAAGUGAGUUCCAGAAGGUUCGCAAAGAGCCUAUGGAUACAGAUGUUAGUUCAUCACAUGUUACUAGUCCAUCAUGCAAACCAGGCGAAGGAAUUAGUUCUUUUCAGCAAGGCCUGGCUCUCUUGCAAUCUGCAGCAAAUGUAGCUGGGAAGGUCGGCACGCUCAAAGGUUUCCCCCUGCAUAGACGUGAACAAAUGAGCUCAAAUCUUGAACCAAUCUCACGUCUGCUUUCUAAGAUGUAUUUCCCAACUGAUCUAGAUAAGAUAUCAGGAUCUGACAGGGUCAGCCACCCAAUGCUUAUGUGGGACUUAAUUAAGUACUCUCUACUGUCAAUGGAGAUUGCUUCUCGUUCUGGGGGGAAAUAUGCAGCACCAAGCUACAGCCUUAAUGCCUUGUAUAAGGAACUUGAAUCCUCGAGCAGAUUCAUAUUGUCCUUGUUGCUGAAACUUGUCCAAAACACGUGCAAGAAUUCUCUUCAUGUGCUUCAAAGAUUUAUAGCAAUUCAGAGCUUUGCAGAAUCUACGUGCUUUGGAGUUUCCAUAGAUCAUGGAAGCAAAACAUCAGGACAAGUUGUUAUGCUGCGUAUCUUGGAACAUGUUGAUAAUCCAGUAGCAUAUCCUGAUUUCCAGUUCUGGAAUCGAGCUUCUGAUCCUGUGCUUGCUCGUGAUCCUUUUUCUUCAUUGAUGUGGGUUCUAUUUUGUCUUCCAUAUCGAUUUUUAUCAUGUGAAGAUUCCUUGCUAUCCCUGGUGCACGUUUUUUAUGUUGUUUCUGUGGUUCAGGGUAUUGCUACAUAUUUUGGGAAAAAUCAGUGCAACAGUAGUGGCUUAGGUGUUGGUGAUUGCCUGAUUACUGACAUCAGCAAGCUUAUGAAUGAAUUUGGAUCCGCUCGGCAAUAUUUUGUAUCAAACUAUAUAGACUCUUCUUCUAAUAUUAAGAAUAUAGUUCGUAGCUUGACUUUCCCUUAUUUGCGGAGGUGUGCAUUGUUGUUGAAGCUACUCGAAUCCUAUGCCCAAGUGCCAUUUUGUGAAAGGUAUAAUGCGUUGGAUAGAUCACGUGCCACUAGUGACGCAAUGGAUGCCACUUAUGUGCCACUGGUUGAGCUCAAUGAAAUUCAAGAGAUAGAAACCCUGCUCAAGAUUCCUUCUUUGGAUGUUAUUCUUAAGGAUGAAGUGGUGCGUUCAUUAGCUCAUAAAUGGUUCUGUCAUUUUGGCAAAGAGUUUGAGGACAAAAGGUUUCAAGGCAGUAUACACUGCAACCCUUCAGUUCCAUUCCAGUUGAUGCGUCUGCCCCGAGUUUACCAGGAUCUAUUGCAGCGGUAUAUAAAGCAGCGGUGUCGUGACUGCAAUAACAUACUUGAUGAACCUGCACUGUGCCUACUUUGUGGUAGGUUAUGCUCUCCAAGCUGGAAAUCAUGCUGCAGGGAAAGUGGAUGCCAAACUCAUGCAGUGGCUUGUGGUUCUGGUACUGGGGUCUUUCUGUUGAUUAGGAGAACAACAAUACUGCUGCAAAGAUCUGCACGGCAGGCUCCCUGGCCAUCACCCUACUUGGAUGCUUUUGGUGAAGAGGACAUUGAAAUGCAGAGAGGAAAGCCACUGUUCUUGAAUGAGGAACGUUAUGCAGCUUUAACUUAUUUGGUUGCUUCUCAUGGCCUAGAUCGAAGUUCGAAGGUUCUUGGGCAAACUACUAUUGGUUCUUUCUUCAUGGUUUAGUUUGGAUUAUAAGUAUAUAUUUUCACACAGAUUGAUGUCAACGGGAUGGCAAAGAACUCUAGUUAACAGCAGGGAAUAUCCAAUGCUAACAAUCGAUCUUAAUCUUAAUCUUUGGAAUUUUCACUGUAUAUUGAGGUUAGAUGCUUGGAGUUUCCUUUCCAGAGUUUUGACUAUUGGUUCUACAGCAGACUAGUCUUUUGCCAGGUUGUUUCUCCAGUUUUCAAGGUUGUACAGUUCAAUGUGAUGCUGGAAGCUGAAGCAUAGAUGCACACU